rnacentral:rRNA from 1 species
GAGUGAUCUGUCUGCUUAAUUGCGUUUCAUAUUUACGAAUGUCGCUUACGUGAUUGCUGCAGACCUCGCGUCUCUUUAUUGAGUGCGACGCGUCUCUUCAACUCACUCGCACAUUCUCUUGAACGCAACGAGCGUGACCGCAACCUCUUGUUGUGUAUACCAAGUGUGUCGUUUGGCUUUACUGCCACUCGCACUCCAAUGCACGUAUUUUGGUCAC